GGAGGAUAUAGCUCAGUGGUAGUGUGUGUGCUUAGUAUCACAAGGUCCUGGGUUCAAUUCCCAGUACCUCCA
rnacentral:tRNA from 1 species